UUCAAUCUCACCUGCAGCUUGGGUCCACCGCACCCCACCCACACGAGCAAGUGAGAAGAGCGAGAUGACGCCCAGCUUCCGCCGCCACCGCCGCCUCCGCCCCCGCCCGGCGUCGGCGCCGCCGCUGGAGGACGGCGACCUGCUCGACGAGAUCCUCCUCCGCCUCUCCCCGGAUCCGUCCUCCCUACCGCGCGCCUCCGCCGUCUGCACCCGCUGGCGCCGCCUCGUCUCCGACCCCGGCUUCGUCGGCCGCUUCCGCCUCCGCCACCGCCGCAGCCCUCCCAUCCUCGGCUGCUUCAUCAGGGACAAGCAAAGUCCGGUCGUCUCCUUCGUACCCACCAUGGAGGCCCCCAAUCGUGUCCCCGCCGAGCGCUUCUCCUUGCAGCUCGGCGGCCGCGGCCCCAUCACUUUCCUCGACUGCCGCCACAGCCUCCUGCUCAUGUUCCUCCCGUAUUGGAUCAAGGUCCUGGUGUGGGACCCCGUCACCGGAGACCAGCACCGCCUAGACAUUCCCCCGGGGUUCGACACGAAGCAGGGGAUCGGCGGGGCGGUGCUUCGCGCCGCCGGGGCCAUCCGCCACUUCCAGGUGGUCUUGUUGGGCAGAGACAAACAAGUGAUCACCGCCUGCGUCUACUCGUCCGAGGCGGGCGUAUGGGGCAAUCUCGUCUCGACUCCGCUUCCAAAUGAGGUGCCAGUUGACUUCGAUUUUAGGGGGGUGCCUGUGCUGAUUGGGGAUUCCCUUCACUAUCUGAUUACGGGUGUCUGUUCUAGAAUCCUUGAGUUUGAUUUGAAUAAGAGGAUCCUAACCGUGAUAGCAGGGCCUGUAGAUAUUCUUGAUGUGGGUAGUUGCCAAUCCACGGUUAUGCGGGCAGAGGAUGGUGGGCCUGGUAUUCUAUUCAAGUCUGACUGCAAUGUCCAGUUGUGGAGGAGGAAGAUUGAUUGUGAUGGCCAGGCUUCAUGGGUGCUGGGAAGAACUUUUGAGCUAGACACGCUACUUUCCCUGAAUUCAGAGGAGAAAGAGCCCACGGUGAUGCUAGGCUUGGCUGAGUACAAUAAUGCGGUGGUGGUGCAGACGGUUGCCGGCCACUUCAUGGUCCAGCUUGAGUCAUUGCAAUUCAAUAAGAUGUACGAAGCCAGCAGUUGGCAUUUCCAUCAACCAUUCGAAAGUGUCUAUACUGGAGAAACAAGCAUUGGUGGUGGAGGACACAAUGGAGCUGAACUUUUGCACAACACUUAAGAUGACUGUCUGGUUCAGUAUGUUAUUAUGACGUACUGGUUGAGUAGGUGUCUAGGAUUGUAUCCUGGUUGCGGAGAUGCAGGACUUGGAUUCUGUGCUGUAGUAUGUAGGUUCUUCCAUUAGUAUGUUUCACGUGGAGUCAAAUUGGCCAUCAACGUUGCAAACAUCUGCUGUCAGGUGUCUAGAACUGCGUUCUGCUUGCUGAGAUGCAGAAAUGGGAUUAUAUGCUGCAGGUUCUUCGAUUUUGUGCACUUCACCGACUCUGUACCACACUCAAGUGUGGAGAGUAACUGCAGGAAUUAAUCGUUUAAUUCGGUAACUACGCGCUGGUAUUAUCUAAUCGAAACUUCUUCCCGCACGAUACUUGUGCCCGACAGGUGCACGACGUGCAAAUCCAGCGGCUAGUGCCCUUCUCAGUCAUAUGCAUACCCGGCUGGAUUCAAUUAUCGUCUAUGGAUCGUGCAAAACUUGCCGUGUGUAUAGCACGACUCUUAUCUAAUUUCUGGACACAAAUAGUCAUUCAACUUUCAUGAUGAAUACUUCGUCUUGCUUCA